AGGAUGGCCGCAGCGUCCCUGGAGCCCUAGCGCCCGCGCUAUAAAAGCGGCAGCAGCCGCUCGCCCUUCUUCUACCCGCCGCCGCCGCCAUAGCCGACUCGAAGCUCCGCACCCUCACCAAGCGCCUCGACCCCGACCUCGCCCCGCGCACCUGCACCACCGAGCUCGGUCACGCCGUGACGCCGUCGAUCGCCACCACGAUGUCGCCCGCAACUGCGUCGCCCGAGCGUCUCGUCCUCGGCACCACCUCGGCACUCGCACCGCGCCCUCGCCGAGCAGCAGCAGAGCCGCGGCCAUGGCCUCGCCCUGCCGACGCCGCCAAGCACCACUGCGCCCGCCUCGGCCGUGCCCCUACCUCUGUGUCAAGCUUCAUCACCACGCGGGGGUCAGCCGCGGUGCCGUCCUCGCUGCGCAGCGGCCUCGCCCGGCGACGUCGAGCCCGCUGCCCUCGCCGCGUCGAGCUUCGACCACGGCCGGCCGCGUGGACGCCACAGCCCGGCCGAGCCUCUGCCUCGCCACCGUGGGAGUCGCCGCGGCCACGACGCCUUCAGCCCCGGCGCCCCUCCGCGUCUACGACGGUGUCGACCGCGAGCCCCCGUGCUGUCAUGGAGCUUACCUCGUCGAGCCGACACGCCGUCGACAGAGCCACCGAUGCCGCGCGCCGGGCACCAGAGCAAGCCCCUUCGCCGAGCACCCGAUGCGCCCCGUUGCCGCGGCCACGCCAGGACAUCGCCAUGGUCACCGCGUCAGCGCCGGCCGUGGUGAUCGCGACCCCGACCACGACGCCGUGCUCAUCUUGCCACGGUGACCGCGAACUUCCCUUUUGCUGGCUGCCGAUCACCACUGAACGUGCAGCAGCGGCAGCACCACCCCGCGCGAAGCUCUUCUCUGCCGCCGGUGAGCCACCAGUGCCCAAGUGCCCUCCUUGCUAGCUUUCUGUUUUGCCUUGCUGAAACCGGCCUUUGUGCCGUGUUCUUCACUGUACAGGGAUGCUGCACCCAUGUCGUGCCACUUGCCGGAGCCGUUGGACUUAACAUCGCUGCUGUUGGAGCACCGAACCUCGAGGCGUUGCCGAACCCCAAGACUUCUCUUUCAGAUGCACCCCGGCCACUUGCAGCAAGCCGCGACCAAGCUGUAGAAGCCCUCUGCCAUCCUCGCCCGCAAGGUCGAACCUUGAACCUAGCCGACAUCGUCUCCGACGUUGGCAAAACCCUUGCCGUUCAUUUCGAUAUCAUACAUGCCAUGUAUCUUGCUCAUGUAUGCAUUAUGAUCUAUCUGCAUGACCAUUUGUUCAUCUAUCCAUGUCAUGCACUUGUUACAUGAUUAUUCAUCUCAUAUCUCGUUUAAUGCGCGAUCUAUCUUCGUCUAUAUCUCUGCCUGUGCCGUGCCUUCGUGCCGGUCUAUUUAUCUAUCUCUAUCUCUUUUGGUCGCUAUGGAAAUGUGCUACUCCGAGUCGUCGUCUUGUUAGUGUUGCAAUUUGUGCUUUUGUUCUUGUCGUUGUGGACCGUGCCGUCGAGCCGGUUGAGAGAGUGACGUGUUUGGAUGUUGCGAUCGCGAGUUCGUCUCGCCAUGGCCGUAAUGCCGAGCAUGUCCCUUCUCUCGUAUUUCUGUUGUUCCUUCUUUUGUUAUUUGCAUGCCUGAGGACCGAGCCUUCGAGCCGGUUAGGGAAAAUGGUGGAGCGUUCGAUCAUUUCGAUCGUGGGUUCGUCCCGCCGUGAUCGCGAUGCCGAGCGUAACUCAUUCCCUGUGAUUAGUUGUCUUCGCUGCGCUACGGUCGUUAGCUCCUAUUCCCGUCCCUCGAACGUGGUCAUCGUGGACUCGAUGUCGUUAACGACGCGGUUCUUACCCGCACACUCGAGACCUAAAUGACCUAGUCUAGUGGGAUACGAAUUAGGGGACAACCUUCGUAGAACUAUCGGAGAAACUCGUUAGGUGAAGCUCAUGGCCGCGAGUCCACCUUGCCAUGGCCAUUGGGCUUUACCCCAUUUCUCCCGUGUUUAUCCUAACCACCUCGUAUGCUUGUACCACUUCGACUAUAGCAUUCCCUCGGACCUAGCGGUGACAACCACAUCGCUAUGGGCCUUAGGAAUAGCCUUGUGCUGAUUUAGAUGCACAGUCAUGGUGCCCUACAAGUGGGUUGGGAUCGUGGGGUCGUAUUCCUUUUAUCCAACCGUCGUUGUUCCAUGAUGAGUUGGUCGAAAGAGUAUGGACUCCAUUCUUCUUCUCUCUUGUUCUCAAUCCCGUCGAUCCAGUAAGAUGGGGAUUAAGCCCCUUUUGCUUGUUUGAUGUUUUGUUUCCAAUCCCGCGAUUCCCGCCGUUGCUAUGGCGAGCGGAUCAAAGGAAGGUGAAUCCCGUGUCUUUUUCCGCCUUUUUGGUUCUUCGUGCUUAAACUCUUGUAUGCUUGUACCUAUAUCGAUCGUAGCAUUUCUUUGGUUCUUGUGGUGACAACCGCACCGCAAAGAACCUUAGUGAUGUCAUAGUGCAUUUAGUGCACCUAGGUUGUGGUACCCUACAAGUGGUUUGAGUACUCGUGUUCCUUAUGUGUCACUCUUUCUAAUCCCCCGUCUCUUACCAUGGCGAGUGGAUGGGAAGAAGUAGACCACUCCCCUUUUCUUCUUUCCUUGUUCCACCCUCUCUUGGCUCUCGCCAACUACAAUGGCGUAUGGAUUGAGAGAGACCGGAACUUCGCGUGCUCAUAGUCUUUUCGAUUCUUGUCGAUCUCCGUGAUGCUUGGAUCGAAGAGCCACUACCUAUGGUGUUUGCUUAUGAUAAGUUAGGGUCUAAGCCAAUUAUUAAAGUCGUACAGGUUGACUUAGUCGACCCAGGAAGUACCGGCUAGGCUAAGACUCCAGCUUGUACUUAGUGAACAACCAUUCCCAUUUCUUUUAGCCCAAAGAUCGGACAUCCGCCGAGAGGGCUAAGCCGUUUUCCUUUCGUUGCUCUUUUAGUGUAGUUGUUCCUCAGUGUUAUGUCGUCUCUUUUCGUAGUCUUUCGAGGUCUAGUGGUUUGAUUGUUUCGCCUUGUUUGUCGCUUUCGAGGUAGUCGCUUCGAGGUUAGCGUUGAUCGGACCAGGACCAGUUGAAGGAAGAACAUGUAGAAAGGAGGAUCUUGGAUGAGUACAACUACAAGUGAACUGAGGAUCUUGGAAAUGUCACUCGACAGGUGCCACGUCCCACCCAACCUCGUAGAAUCCUAUUAGACAUGCAAUAAUGUAGAUGCUAGUGCUUUACUUUUAUGCAAAUGAAUUGAGAUAGGUUGCAUGGUAGAAAUGCUUGUGAGCCAUUGCCUUGUUGCAACCUAUAACCCUCGCACACCCGCUGUUAGGUUAGACGCUUGCAUACUACUUGCUACUGCUUCUACUACGCAUUAUAUCUGUGAUGUGAUGCAUUGUGGAGGAUUGGAUGUGAGUGGAUAAGGCACGUGGUGCCGAUAACUGGAUAAGAAAUGGAUAAUGGACUUGGGGAGAUCUUGGCGUGUGUCUUGGGUGUGUGGUGAGGGUUGAGUCGACCGAGCAGGAUUUACGACGAGUCUUGGGACAAGUCUUGCCGGGGAAUGCUACCUGGGCGUUCUCCAUGAGAGAUACCUGUGGCGGGUACAUGUGACAGGGAGAGGUCCCGGAGUGGAGUGUCUUCGUGGGACGAAGCACCGGGAUGGGAGGUGCUGUAUAGCACGGGGUAGCCGGGUGUCCCGUCGAGAGGGGCAUCGGCUGGCCCCUCGUGAAGAUGUCCUGUUCGGUUACCCUAAGGACUGAGAUGUUCUGAGAACCGGUUCGUAGGAAGCCUUACACGCCACUCGCCUUAUUAUGGUGCGGGACGGAUGUACGACCAGCUAGUGCGGUGCCACUACUACUAGGUUGAUAGCGGAUAGUGUAGGGAGGUACGGGCAUGAGGACCCACACCCUCCUAAGACAGCGUAGUGACCUUUGGGGGCCCGGUACUACGCCUCACAGUCUCAGCAUGCCGGUGGUACUCCGGUAUGGCCCCAGUCCUGAGUGGUAGGGUGGCAUCGUAUUUAGUUGGAAGGCAGCCCGGUAUCAGCCUAGACGAGCCGGUUCGUCGAUGAUGGUGAUCUUGUGGUUAGUGUAAACCUCUGCAGAGUUUGGUUGAUCGAUCGAUACAUAUGCCGUCUUCUCGGCUAUGGACCUUUCCUAUGUUCCGCUUCGCUUGACUAGUGAGAGGAGUCCCUUCUAUCUUCCCCUGGGUUUGUGUUGGAUCCGGCGUUGGCCGUUGAGGCAAGGCACGAGCGGGAGUCGUACUUGCCGCCUAGAGAGUGAGAGUGUGGUGAGAUGUGUGUGAUGGGAUGGAUGGAUGGAUGUGUGGAUGAGAUGGAUUAAAACUUGAUGAAUUAUUAUUAUUAAAAUAUUGAUGAACUUGCAUAGAAAAAACUACAGCCAUAUAUAGGCCUCUUGAUCUACCCUUUUGCAUUCCACUUACCACAAAGCUUACGCAAAAGCAUAGGGUGGGAGCCAGUGGCCAGUACAAAUCGUACUGAAAAUUGUUUAGCAGGUUUUGAACGUGAUCUAUGACGAUAACUACGGAGAAUAGAAGGAUUAGGUGGUCUCGUUCCUGCGCUCAAGUUUGGUUCAGAGAUGAAGGCUGCGCCCGCUGAUAAACUACGCCGACUCUGAUGAUUGUCCGUGAAGGAGGAGCCUUCACCGCUGUCGCGCUACAUCGACUCUGAUAAAGACUCGCGUGUGUUUCCGCUAGAAAAACAAUGUAAUAAGCUUGUUAAUCAAGAGUUGUAAAGCAAAUGUGUUGUAAUCUUGUUUCUCACGAUGUAUGACUACGAUAACAGCUGAUAUAUGAUAAUGCGAUGGUUCAAUUUUUGAAUUAUCACAUUAUAAUUCGAAUCUGUGGAUUUUUCCCUUUGUGGAAAAAUCUGGGUCGUUUCAGUUGGUAUCAGAGCCAUACUUGACCCUAGGACGAGACCAUUAGGACCAAACACUAGUUUAGAAGCCAAACAUUCUAUCUUUUGUAGAGUUAUAGAUGCUAACACUUGUUUUCCCCCCUCCGCCUUGAAUUCUGUUGCUAACUGACCUCCCUGUUUCAUAAAGUUGACCGUUGGAAUCUUUUCCCAUACCCGCCCACGCUAGAUCGGUAGUCGUGUGAGACUUUGAAGGUCUGUGAGUCGCCUCAAGUCAACACUAUGCAUUAGGAGUUGUAAUGCUGAUUGAGUGCUUGGAUCUUAUGUUCUUGCGUUUCGUCUGCUUCUUGUUGUUUGAGUGUAUGUCAUAGAACUGUUUUAUGCGAGAAAAACUCUGGAUCCCGUCCAAUCUAGCUGGCUAAACCUAAGACUGUCCCGAAACUAGAUAAGUGACCCUGGCUAACAGAGCCGAAAAAGGGUUUAAAGCUGAUGCAUCAUGUCUUGCCCAUCUAUUUCAAAACUGUUUUUGGCUUCCAACUAAACUUGUCUUCAAAAUUGCCCUUUUGUUGAAAAAGUUUCUCUCCUUUUUGGUUGAAAAAGUUUAUCUCUUUUACAAAACAUCUUGGUUUCAAAAGGAAAAGUGUUUCAAAACUCUCUCAAUAUUCUUCCCUUUUCACAAAUAAAGCAAUUUUAACCCCCCUUUCUCAACUCAAACUCUAUUUAUGAAACGGUUUAAAAACAAGUUAUCUUCAAAAGGUGUUACCAAUCCUCUUUCUGAAAAUCAAAAGUUCUACCUUCAACCAACAAAGUGGUUUUCAAACCAAAGAUCUUUGGCUCAGUUUUGUUUUAAAUGUCUUUGAUUUUAUCUCAAGAGCCAAAUUCCUUUUAAAAUUCAACCUUGCCUUAAAAGAAAAAGGAAUUCCCAGUGAUUUAUUAAACAAAAACCAUUGUGAAAAGUUUUUGUUUAGCAACCUUUCAAAAAAAAGAACGAAAUGGACUUUCAAGUUUCAAAAAUGUUUUGGUUGUGAAGGCUCUAACUUUCAAAAUGCGAAAUGAUUUCUUGUUAUUUUCAAAACUAAUUUGUUUGACUCUAAUAAAAAGGGAGCAAUACCUUGUUUUAAAGAAAAUAGUAAUAAUAAAAUGAAAGAAUUUUAAAAUCUUUUGAUUUGAAAUCUUUUAUAAUAAAACCUUCAAAAUAUUUGGUUCUCAAAACUUGUAUUGAAUUCAACCCUCUGCAAAAGCUCUCUUCAUUUUGAAGUCUCAAAAAAAAAAUUGACUUUGUAAAAUCGCUUUCACUCCAUUUAUGAAACCUGUUUUUUUCCGAAAAACAUUCCUUUCAAAAGCUUUUUGCAAAGAGUGAUGCAUGAAAAACCGCUAGUGAAAGCCAACAACCCUAGCUAUGUUUAAGCCUGCCAUGCACUCCUAGAGAGCCAGAUGUUCAUCAACCUGGUGCGAUUCUUGGAUACCCAUCGCCUUGUUGUGAGAAUUUGGAUACCCAACACCAGCGAGUGAGCCUUGGAUACAUCCUGAACAUGACUCGCCCCCACAUGGAAAAGGUUUGUGGAGCCAUCUUUCUGAUAGCAGUUAACUCAAAAGUAAGAAGAACUUCUGAAACGACGCCCUCGUUUCUUCACCGACCGAGCAACGCCUAAAUCUCGGGACGAGAUUCCUGUAAGGUGGGUGGACUGUAACAUCCCGGAUUUUUACAAAAACCAAAAAUACGAACUUUUUAAAAUUUUUCCUGUAAUCGUGUGAAUCAUAUAGUAUUUAGGUCAAACUCGAUCCUAACCCGCUAACAAAUCGUGGCAUACAUAUAGAUUUGUUUGUAGACGGGUCGUCUUAAGUUGGAUCUUGUUAGGGUUUUGAGUUUCUUUUGGAGUGCACAAAUCCGUAGCAAAGCCUUCCCGAAUUUUCGUUGAGCCUAUCUCAAAGGCGAAGCGGAUCCCUUCUCAACCUUUUCGUUGGAGUACGUCUCAAACUCCUUUUGAUCCUUUUGAACUCUCCCUGAAAUUCCCUUCUCUCUCUCUUUGAUCUUAUCUAAAUCUCCUCCGCAAAAUCUAUCUUAAAUUCAUGGUAACUCAUCUCAAUCUCUUGUUGAGUUCUCUCUCGAAUGCCCCUCAUUUUUUUUUCCCUUUUAAAAUUUCUCUCAAAGCCCUUGAGUCAAAUUCGUAAAUGGAAGAUCCAUCUCCUUUCAUGGGCCAAUUCUUUCCUCCUCUUCCUCCCUCCCUCGGCCCAGCCUGGGCACCCUUCCCCCCUGUCCGGCCCAACUCGCGCGCGCCAAGGCCCAGUCUGCCCCUUACCCCCCAGCCAGGUCGGCCCACCUCGUUCCCCCUGUCUCCCCUCCGAGGCCCAGCUCUUUCCUUGGCCCAUCCAGUGCCGCGCUGGCCCAUUCGCUUCUCCCUGCUCUGGCCCAAGUCGUGGCCGGCCCAGCAGCCAGCGCCCCAGCCCCAACCCUAGCAGGGAGCUGGACACCUGAGCCCCAGAGCCGCCGCCGCCGUCGCCCAAGGCAGAGCCGCGCCAGCGCUCGCGCCUGCCACGGCUUCCGUGCGACCCCGCAUCCACCGCCGCGUGUCCCGCUGCGGACACGGACGCCGAGGAUGGCCGCAGCGUCCCUGGAGCCCUAGCGCCCGCGCUAUAAAAGCGGCAGCAGCCGCUCGCCCUUCUUCUACCCGCCGCCGCCGCCAUAGCCGACUCGAAGCUCCGCACCCUCACCAAGCGCCUCGACCCCGACCUCGCCCCGCGCACCUGCACCACCGAGCUCGGUCACGCCGUGACGCCGUCGAUCGCCACCACGAUGUCGCCCGCAACUGCGUCGCCCGAGCGUCUCGUCCUCGGCACCACCUCGGCACUCGCACCGCGCCCUCGCCGAGCAGCAGCAGAGCCGCGGCCAUGGCCUCGCCCUGCCGACGCCGCCAAGCACCACUGCGCCCGCCUCGGCCGUGCCCCUACCUCUGUGUCAAGCUUCAUCACCACGCGGGGGUCAGCCGCGGUGCCGUCCUCGCUGCGCAGCGGCCUCGCCCGGCGACGUCGAGCCCGCUGCCCUCGCCGCGUCGAGCUUCGACCACGGCCGGCCGCGUGGACGCCACAGCCCGGCCGAG
rnacentral:lncRNA from 1 species